GAUGAAGAACGCAGCGAAAUGCGAUAAGUAGUGUGAAUUGCAGAAUUCAGUGAAUCAUCGAAUCUUUGAACGCACAUUGCGCCCCUUGGUAUUCCAUGGGGCAUGCCUGUUCGAGCGUCAUUUGUACCUUCAAGCUCUGCUUGGUGUUGGGUGUUUGUCUCGCCUCUGCGUGUAGACUCGCCUCAAAACAAUUGGCAGCCGGCGUAUUGAUUUCGGAGCGCAGUACAUCUCGCGCUUUGCACUCAUAACGACGACGUCCAAAAGUACAUUUUUACACUCUUGACCUCGGAUCAGGUGGGGAUACCCGCUGAACUUAAGCAUAUCAAUAAGCGGAGGA
rnacentral:misc_RNA from 1 species